GGAAUUGGUAAUUUCAGUGAAACAGAAGUCAGUGCCGAGACCGUGGAAGAUACAACCUAGAUAAUGCACUGAUGGAUUUUAAUAUAUUUCAACCGGUAUUUCUACUAAUAGUAGCCAUUUUAACAGUUGUAAAAUCAGCUGAAUUUAGAGGAUGCUACGAAGAAAACAAAAGACGCCGAACAAUGAACGUAAACCCAGGAGACUUUGAUCCUAAUAACCUCACACCGGGUUUAUGUGCGUCUAAAUGUGGUCUAUUUGGCUAUGUGUAUGCUGGUGUGACUGGUGGUAAUUUCUGUUUCUGCUCUAAUCAGGAACCACCACCUGGAAAUCGUAAACCGAGUGAAUGUACCAUGCCAUGUACGGGUAAUGCUGCAGAAAAGUGUGGAGACUUAGAUCAUGUGAGCGUUUACCAAUCUUCACAGCCAAUUGUUGGACUUCAAGUCGAACCGAACCCACCAUUAGCUGGAUUCGUUAAGACAGGCGACACAGUAACCUUUGAUGUUAGUGUUGUUAGUGCUUUGGGGGCUUAUUAUCAGUUUAGUUAUGAUGACGGGGCAGAGAGAACACCCAAGAAUGAAACUCAAAUGUAUACACAUAGCUUUAACGUACCUGGUGUAUAUAGCGUCAAGGUGUAUGGUUCUGAUUUGAAUGACACCAUUCCGGAAGGUCAAGCUGUAACCACAGUAGCUGUGAAAGAUGAAGUUGGAACUGUGUUUGUAGAUUGUCCUGAUAUGUGUGCUACAUAUGAAUACUGUUUGUGUGAAGCGAAGACAUAUCAGGGUAGUGAGAUGCAAUUAACUGAUACUGUGG